rnacentral:misc_RNA from 1 species
CUGGUUCCUUGUUGAACUUCAGCUCGCUUAAAAUACAUUAGCAUCUCAAUUUCGAAACUUGGAUUGACUCAGCGUAAUAGACUUUUCGCUGAGGACACCUUCAGGGUGGCCAUGUUAGAUAACGAUUGAUGCUUAUAGCACUCUAUCUAGUCACUCUUAGAUUAGACCUCAGAUCAGGCAGGAUUACCCGCUGAACUUAA